UCUGUGUUUGAUUUAUUGAUGCUCGAAAAAUUCUUUGUGACUUUUAUUAGACGUUUUCUAUACGUUUAUUAGACACAAAUUCUGGAAUAAUUACAAGAUUUUGAAGAAAUUCAAUUUUAUUGUGAGAUACAAAUUAUAUAUAUAUUUCCACUUAAAUUAUCUGUAAUGUGAAAUUGUUAGUGAUAUGAAAUUGCUAUUCAAUAAUUUCAGGAUAAUUACAGUAUUCAUGACAAAUUUCAAGUUGUGGUGUCAAAGUGAAAGUUAAGGAUAUUUUUAACUGGAUCACUGUGACCAUAAUUCCAAGGAAUGUGAUUUUGUGGACAGCAACGAGUUGAUGUAUUUUACGAAACUAGAAAUUGUUUCAGAGACACAUUGCAGAGAAAUUUGGAUUCCAGAAUAUUAUCGUUAUUUCUGAAAAUAACUGAUUGUAUAUUGGACAAUACUUUGGAAACUUUAAAU